UUGAGGAGGCGGUGACCGUGUAGGUGGAAGCAGCGGUGGAGGAGGAGGAUGAGGUAGCCAACACUGUUUUUUUUAUGUAUAUAUAUUUUUUAAUUGGGGUAGCCCCCAAAAUAUUGGGACAUAUAAAAAAGACAACUUUGUUCCACAGAGUAGCUGUUGACAUUAUAGUUGCGCAGGCACUUUGUUGACUCUAGAGAACCUCGGGUCCAUCGCACAUCCCCGUGACGGCGAAUUUGCAUUUGGAUGUCAUCCAUAUCAACUUUCGAUGCCAGUUUCUGCGCCUACCAUGGUGACUACAGGUAAUGGGGAAUUAGGGUUUCAUUCCGUACAGGGACCCUGAGAAAAGGUUACCACAUGCAAGGAGGGCAAGAGGCACGCAAAUGACUCAGUGAUGACAAAUAACAAUACAGGACUCUUUAGAGGCCCUGUAAUUGUAAUGAGUCCACUUGAAAUCCUUUAACGCUGAUCAAUUGGAGGGAAGUCUGAUGCAGAGCCACUGACCUGUGCGUGCUGCAGCUGAAACUCCACU